rnacentral:rRNA from 1 species
GAUGAACGCUGGCGGCGUGCCUAAUACAUGCAAGUCGAGCGAACAGACGAGGAGCUUGCUCCUCUGACGUUAGCGGCGGACGGGUGAGUAACACGUGGAUAACCUACCUAUAAGACUGGGAUAAAUUCGGGAAACCGGAGCUAAUACCGGAUAAUAUAUUGAACCGCAUGGUUCAAUAGUGAAAGACGGUUUUGCUGUCACUUAUAGAUGGAUCCGCGCCGCAUUAGCUAGUUGGUAAGGUAACGGCUUACCAAGGCAACGAUGCGUAGCCGACCUGAGAGGGUGAUCGGCCACACUGGAACUGAGACACGGUCCAGACUCCUACGGGAGGCAGCAGUAGGGAAUCUUCCGCAAUGGGCGAAAGCCUGACGGAGCAACGCCGCGUGAGUGAUGAAGGUCUUCGGAUCGUAAAACUCUGUUAUUAGGGAAGAACAAAUGUGUAAGUAACUAUGCACGUCUUGACGGUACCUAUUCAGAAAGCCACGGCUAACUACGUG